rnacentral:lncRNA from 1 species
AUUAGAAAUCAAAGUAUAUCAAGUGGCGGUUCCAUAUCAUACGCGACUACCUUAGAAAGAAAUAUGUCGAGGUGUGAAGAGUAGACUCUACGAACAACAUGACAGACCCGCUGACAAUGCAAUUGAGUCAGCCAAAGAUGGAAGUCCACCUUGAGAAGAUGGGACUUAGAUUAGUGACCAAUUGGCUUUAGUCCAAGUGGA